AAAAAAAAGAAACCAAAAAACCACAAAACAAACCAAGAAAUAACCCAUACUCCCCUAUUCCUAUUGCAAGGAACUGCAUCAAAACCAAACUCAUCCAUGAAAUGGAUGUCUGUAAUAUCUAAAUAAUUUCCAUCUGAGCACCUACAGAAAGCAAAAAGGUGUUUGGGGGAUGGAAAGAAUCCCAGUCUGAAAUGGUGAAACACUGUUGAAAGAGGCACCUUAUUAUUUUACAAAAGUACCUGUAAAGAAAGACAGAUACUUACAGAUUACUUACAGAUGUGUUAACAGUAAUUUUUGUUCCCUUAACUCUGCAUGUUUAAUUCUUCAGCUGUUUCUUCUCUCUCAGAAAUACAAAGUGUUGCUUGUACAUACUAUUUAAAUAACAGUGUUUCUUCUGUUAUUGACAGACACUGCCUGACCAAAAAGGUUACAGAUGGAGAGACAGACAAAAAUACUUAGUUCUCGGGAAAACAAAGACACCACUUCAGAUCUGUUCCACCGUUUGCCAUAAAGCCAGCUAUGAACCUGAACGCAUGCAAACUCGGCAAGCAGCAAUUCUGAGGAGAACUUCCCUCCAGUGGGUGAAAUUCUCAAGACCAUUAUGAAGCAGUGGCUCAUCUUAACUACAUCUUCUGGAAAAUAAGCCGUGUGUGGAGUUAAGUUACUUUUAAAACCAAUAGCAUUUCUAAGUGAGAGAGUCCAAGGCCAAGCCUGUCUUCCAGCAGCCUGUCUAACCUAUGUGUCCAGUCUUUCAAACUGUAACUAG